GGUAACGUUAUGAACCAUCUUCAUGUGC
rnacentral:piRNA from 1 species